GGUAUCUCAAAAUAGCUCUAGAAGCCAAAAGCUUCCUUAUCCUCAACUACUAUUGAACUUUAGCAUUAUUUAUCCCAAAUUAGGUAAGCAGUCCUAAAGCACUACACAAGGACCCAUGAGUUUCCCAGCUUAGUAUUAUUAGGAUGUUGAUGCAAUACAUUUCGAUUUUAUCCAAGUAAUACCUUAUAAAGAGUGUUACUACCUCUUAUACCACAUGUUAGAGAAAUUAAUAUUACUUUUAGACAGUUAAGUAAAGACAUUAAUUGAGAACAAUUGAAAAUGUUAUAUCGUUUGCUAGACAAAAUGAUCUAG
rnacentral:lncRNA from 1 species